GAUGAACGCUGGCGGCGUGCUUAACACAUGCAAGUCGAACGACGCACUUUAACCUGAUUCUUCGGCUGGAGGUUUUUGUGACUGAGUGGCGUACGGGUGAGUAACGCGUUGGUGACCUGCCUCAUACAGGGGGAUAACAGUUAGAAAUGACUGCUAAUACCGCAUAAGACCACAGAGCCGCCUGGCUCGGUUGGAAAAACUCCGGUGGUAUGAGAUGGGCCCGCGUCUGAUUAGGUAGUUGGUGGGGUAACGGCCUACCAAGCAAACGAUCAGUAGCCGAGAUGAGAGCGUGGCCGGCCACAUUGGGACUGAGAGAAGGCGCAAACUCCGACGAGAGGCAGCAGUGGGGAAUAAUGCACAAUGGGGGAAAGACUGAGGCAGCGAGGCCGCGUGAGCGAAGAGGUAUGGCGGUAUGUAAAGGGCUAACAGCAGGGAAGAAAAGGAGGGUACCGGACUAAGAAGAACGGGUUAAAUAGGU
rnacentral:rRNA from 1 species